GAUGAAGAACGCAGCGAAAUGCGAUACGUAAUGUGAAUUGCAGAAUUCAGUGAAUCAUCGAAUCUUUGAACGCACAUUGCACUCCUUGGUAUUCCGAGGAGUAUGCCUGUUUCAGUAUCAUGAGCACUCUCACAUCUAACCUUUGGGUUAAAAUGUGGAAUUGGGAUGCGCCGGUUAUUAUAACGGCCCCCCUAAAAUUCAGUUCUUGGCUGCUUCCUACUACAGCAGUUUGGCCUAAUAGUUUUGAGUCUUCGAUUCAAAUCUUUGGCUAACAUUUGCUUCAGGAUGUCAGUCUUGAUAUACAGAAAUCUCAUUCAAACUUUGAUCUGAAAUCAGGUAGGGCUACCCGCUGAACUUAAGCAUAUCAAUAAGCGGAGGA
rnacentral:misc_RNA from 1 species